rnacentral:lncRNA from 1 species
ACACGACGGGUGCCUUGGUGGGGAUGGCGGACGCCACCUUUGUUGGAACGACCCCACUAAGGGAAGUUGGAGGAUAUUUUUGUCUUUGGCUAGCUUUUUAGAACUUUUAUAAAUAGGCGUUUUCACUUCAAGAAAAGGCAUCCAACUUAGUUCACAACACUAAGCCUAAAGUUCACAAUUGUAAAAGCGAUAAUCUGUCAUAUCGGGGGGUUAUCGCACUUGAGUUGUAGUUAGGUUGGAGCACUGUACAAACAAUCUUGCCGCCAUUUUACUUUCCAGUCAAGUUU